rnacentral:pre_miRNA from 1 species
CUAAGUAGUGGCGCUGCAGGUAGUGCAGUUUCAGUACCUGCGUACUGCUACUUACAG